rnacentral:rRNA from 1 species
AGUGAACGCUGGCGGUAGGCCUAACACAUGCAAGUCGAACGGCAGCACAGUAAGAGCUUGCUCUUACGGGUGGCGAGUGGCGGACGGGUGAGGAAUACAUCGGAAUCUACUUUUUCGUGGGGGAUAACGUAGGGAAACUUACGCUAAUACCGCAUACGACCUGCGGGUGAAAGCAGGGGAUCUUCGGACCUUGCGCGAUUGAAUGAGCCGAUUUCGGAUUAGCUAGUUGGCGGGGUAAAGGCCCACCAAGGCGACGAUCCGUAGCUGAUCUGAGAGGAUGAUAGGACACAAUGGAAAUGAGACACGGGCCAGACUCCUACGGGAGGGAGAAGUAGGGAAUAUUCCGCAAAGGGGGAAAGCCUGACGGAGCAACGACGCGUGAGUGAUGAAGGUCUUCGGAGCGUAAAAAUCUGUUAUUAGGGAAAAAAAAAGGUGUGAGUAAAUACGCACGUCUUGACGGUACCCAAUAAGAAAAACACGGCUAACUACGUG